GCGUUAAUUGUAAACGGCCCUGUCGCAGUACAGAAAAAAUCGUCAAACGAACUAAGCGCAGGCGACUCGUGGACUGUACAGUUCUAGGAAACAUUUCAGUUGAAUGUUUUCACUGGGGAGGGUGAAAGAAGCGAUUAUACGAAGGCGAAUUGUGAAGAGAUGUCAAAAUCUGCAAUUUUUCUAGCUAUUGUCGAUUCGUCUAAGAAUAAUUAAGGCUGCAUGCCAAUCAAUGUAAAUCAUAAAAUAGAGCAUUUCUGCUGUCGACGUGGAUUUGAUUGGGAAGAACUAGAGUUAGAUCAAAUUCUUCCAAUUUUCGCUCAAUUAACUAAUGACGUUCAACAAUCAAGCAGUUAAGAAUUAAUAAAUUCAUGGUAUAUCAUGAGUGUUUUUUCAAGCGCCGUCUCCUGUGAAGCAUAUCUACCAUUUUCGUGCAAAGCUCUCUGGAAAGCGUAUUGACUGUGUAUGCAUGCAUGCAUCUAUCGAACUUCGUGCACAUAUAGACGUGAUGCUUUGACGAUAAAUACUUAUUAAAAUUCAAAUUAUUUAUUUCUGCCUUGUAAAGGUACAGACAGCAGAGGCGCAGAAAAAGCUGUCAGAUACAGAUUGACAAAGCCGCAGCCCCCUUUCGCUUGGCAGAGCCUUCACAGCGACACUUUUAAAACAAAGACAAUUGCACCCGGUAAUAACAGGUAUACAAUACUGAGCAAGUACAAAAGGAAACCAAUCAAGAUUAUACGAUAUUUGUACAAUACUCCCAAACAAGAAAACAGAACCUACAUGCUAACGUACAUAGCACCCAAAGUACUGUUCGACACGUUGAAGAAGUCAAAAUUAUUGUUCACAUAAGGUAUAUACAUAUUCGUAUAGCGCUACCAAUCCCUGCAAAAUAUAGAACGCAGAUUUUCAUUACACACACGCACGCACGCACGUGCACAGCACACACACCAAAAGGAAACGGCAACGCGCUCACAGGAAGCGCCUGAAAAACGAAAAAAAAAGGAAAAGUGUGGGGAACCGAGGUCGUCUUGGGCUGUCGCCUCUCCCUCUCCCAGAAGGAAUGAAGAGGUUCUUGGAAAGCAGGGACGGGCGAUUCUCUCUGUCAGCAUCAGCUCCCACCAGCGAGGACGGGGCGAGAAAGCGAAACGGGACUUUCCUUGCUGUCUAUUUUUUCUUCGUCAGGCCAACGCCGCUUGCUUGCAGGGGCGCAGGCGAGUUCCCGCCAAAUGGCGCGGGUGCGUGAGUUGCCGCCAAAUGCUAGCUCUGGAUGCCAGCUCGUUCCGCGUCUCAUGGUAGACUAGUUGGUGCAUUUCUGUUAUCAUGGACUGCGCAUAUAAACGCAAGCUACACAAAAGUGACAUGGACAAGAACAGCGCAAGCCCUUUACAUGCAGUGGAGCCGCCGUAUCUCGCCGUUCAAGAUAUGCGUACUCGAAAAAAAAAAAAGAGGCUUUACAUGAGAACGGAUCAAGCGUUCGAGAGUUGGGACAGGGAAAUGUGAGACGUACGUAUGUAUAUAUUUCUAAUAUUAUUUUUUCGUCUUGUAUUCUCGUUAAUUUUUCUCUAGGAAACACUGGAACGACACUGCUUAAAUUGAAGCACAGUGUGCGAAUGACCUGCUACGCUCGGAACUGUUAUCACCAUUCGGGAAGAAAUUGGGUAAGAAUGGAUUGUGUGUGGCGCGCUUCACCGCAUGUGGACUAGAGUAGAUCUAGGAACAUCAGACAAGAAGACACGUAUGUGAAACCCUGCGGAUAGCCCAUAUGUGAACUUUUUUUCCAGAUACGGAGGAACGGACACCGGUCAUGCCGUGAGCACUCUUCUGCAGGGCAUACUUACAAAUGAAGCUGCACUGCAGUUCAGCUGGAAAGGGUCGCAGGGGAGGAAGCACGCCUUCGUGAAGCUCAUGGCCAUCACGAAUAUAACAUCUGUGAGGAGCACGUUCCCUGACGCUUCACUAGCAUCAGUGGCUGGAGUCGCAAAACGCUGGUUGGUUGGAGCAGCUGACAGGGAUGGAGGCCGGAAUGAAAGAAGGCGCCGUGACCCUGCUUCAAGCCCACCAAAUAUGAACUAGUGUUUGAAACUUGUGAACGUGUCGGUGUACAUAUACAAUUACAAGAAAUAAAGACCUGUAUCAGAA